CUGACGAGCGGCGGACGGGUGAGUAAUGCAUAGGAAACUGCCCAGUAGUGGGGGAUAGCCCGGGGAAACCCGGAUUAAUACCGCGUACGCCCUUCGGGGGAAAGCAGGGGAUCCUCGGACCUUGCGCUAUUGGAUGUGCCUAUGUCGGAUUAGCUAGUUGGUGGGGUAAAGGCCUACCAAGGCGACGAUCCGUAGCUGGUCUGAGAGGAUGAUCAGCCACAUCGGGACUGAGACACGGCCCGA
rnacentral:rRNA from 1 species